GAAGAAAAGAGAAAGAGCUGAGAAAGAAGUGGAGACACUGAAGAGGAAACUGGAGACUGAGUCAGAGAGAAUCAAACCUGAACAAACACAGAACGGCAGCAGCUCAGACAGUCAGGAGACAUUAAGAGAUAUCACUGUGGACAUUAAUCUCUAUUGCAGAUAUAUUUGUCUCAGAAACAAGUUUGAUCAGGACAAACCACUGGGAGGACGUCAGUUAAAAGUCCAGAUCAAAAAUAGUGAAGCCAUCACAUACACAUUGAAACCAUCAGUGGAACUCAAGGCUGGAAAGUCUCUUUUUAUAUACCAUCCAGACUGUGACGAGAGUUUUACUCUACCUGGUCAACUGUUCUGGAAGGAGCUGAAGUCCUGGGGCCGUGGAGACAUAGUCCAGGUCUCUCUGCAGUGAAAUAGUUCCCAGUUGAACUCCUUCAAUAAAGUCCAGCAAACAGCAACAUUAUAAAUGAGAAACACUUGGCUCCAUUUUAUUGGAUUAGUCAAGUUUGAUGUGAACGUUGGUUUGUUUAAAGACUUUUACAGGAUGACGUCAGUGUUUUAUGUUGUUAAAAUCUGACAGAUUGAUUGUAAAUGUUAAUAUAAUAAUGAGAUUUAUGAUAAUUUAUGAAACACAUGCUGAUGUUAAUUUUGACAUUAAGCUUGAAAAGCUUAGAUGUGAUUACAGUUUAAAAAAUAAAGAAUAAUA